AUUGAACGCUGGCGGCAGGCCUAACACAUGCAAGUCGAGCGAGCGGCGGACGGGUGAGUAAUGUCUGGGAAACUGCCUGAUGGAGGGGGAUAACUACUGGAAACGGUAGCUAAUACCGCAUACCAUCAGAUGUGCCCAGAUGGGAUUAGCUAGUAGGUGGGGUAAUGGCUCUCCUAGGCGACGAUCCCUAGCUGGUCUGAGAGGAUAACCAGCCAAACUGGAACGGCGACACGGUCCAGACUCCUACGGGGGGCAGCAGUGGGAAAGUUUGCACAAUGGGCGCAAGCCUGAUGCAGCCAUGCGGCGUGUGGGAAGAAGGCCUUCGGGUUGUAAAGCACUUUCAGCGGGGAGGCGAUACCCGCAGAAGAAGCACCGGCUAACUCCGUGCCAGCCGCCGCGGUAAUUC
rnacentral:rRNA from 1 species